GCUCAACAGACACCAACCAAGCAUGAUCAGGUUCUGCCCUUCUGGCUAAAAUAUAUAAAUUCCUUUUAAAGGAAAACAGGAAUUGCCAAGACAAAAAAGGCAAGAAAACUUUCAUACUCUUUACUUUCACUGUUUUUGUUUGCAUUUGGAUUCUAUACUAUUUCUCCAUUUCAAUUUCAGGAAUUUAAUUCUUUAAGAAAGGUAUUGAAAAUUCAAGUGAAAGACCUGCAAGAGAGCUGUGCCACUUUCUUGUGUAACCUUGCUAUUCAUUUUGGGGUUUAUACAACACAGCGUUAUCUGUCAGUUGUGAGUGCAUGAAAAUAUUGUUGUCUGUUGUUUUGCUGUUAUUAACUUAAUUUUUGUAUUUUCCUCGGAAUUAUUGGAUCAGGAUCAGCAUAGCAAUUAGAACAACUUGGCCUUCUUUUGAUAUCUAAGUUCAAGCAAACUAAUUCUGUGUUUUGACUGAUUUUGUUUAGACCCUGUGUGAAUCCAAAGCUCAGGUUGUCUCACAUCAGAUCAACUUUGGGAAUUGAUGUGGUUAAUAAGGAAGAUAAUUGGCUUGUGAACUAAUCAGAAGUCAGCGAAAAAAACCAAUGUAUUUGAAUGUUAGGGAUCACAUGAUUAAUUGAUUAUUAUCCUGCUCUUUUUUCUAAUCCAGCUAAAACUUUUGCCAGCUUAAAUAAUAGUCUAGUACACAUUAAAGGCCCACUGAAUUAGUGCCAAAAAGGAUAAAGCUUUGCAUUCUUUGCCAUCAUUCUUGUUACUUAUAAAAGAUACAACAUCCUCUUCUCACUCAUAUGAUUGUUGAGGAAACACAAGAGAAACUUGACAUCAUCAAAUUCGAACCUAAAUAAAGUCUAGCUAGAAAGGGGAGAAGAAACCAAUGUCUCAAAUGGAGAGAGAUCUCAGCCGCCGCCGAUCCUUUUAUUUUUCCGGUUGCAUGAUGUCCCCAUCAUGCUUCCCUGUGCAUGAAGAAAUGGAGUACUCACGCAUUCACUAUAGAAGCAGCAGCAGUGACAAGACGAGGAGGAGAUGGAGAAAUCUGCUAAGGAGGUUGGUAAGGGAUGGCAAGAGCAGCAUAUAUGGAUCAAAACCUUUGUCUUUUCACUAUGAUGCUGUUAGCUAUUCACAGAAUUUUGAUGAUGGCUGUCAUCAUGAUGAAUCUGGCCAUGGCCGGCGAGUUUUUCAGGAUGUUAGAUGGGAAGUACAUGAGUAAUGUUGUGUUUGUUUAUGUGUUUUUUUUUAAGUUCAGAUCAUCUUUGUUGUAACUAUAUAUAUAUAUAUAUAUAUAUAUUAAGAUCUGCUAAUUAAGUUUCCAAGAAUCACAUUUCUGCCGAAUUACUGUUUCUGUUGCUUUGUUUUCUUCUUCUUCUUUCCCUCGAAAUGUUUAUGUUAGCUCUGAUGAUUAGAAAUAAUGGAUCUGUGCCUUGGAUGAUGACAUAUUGAAUCUGCGAGGGCCACUGGGGGUGCAUUUUUCAGGUUCCAGGACCGACUGAAAAACAACAGGAGCAAGACCUUCUUGUUCUUCUUAAUCUGCUUAACUAAAUUCUGAUCAUCAGUGAAGAGACAAAAUAACCUUCCAAGCUCCAUGACAAGACUAAUUAACGGUGAUUGAUAACUGCACACAUUGCAGAGAAUGUAAUUUCAAAUGUCAUCAGAGACCAUCAGAGUUGCAUGUGAAACUCUAGUUUUUCACAAGCUAAUACGCCAAGAUGGCAAGGAAAAGGAAGCUUCACCUGUCAAUAAAGGUCGCAGAAUUAUUGAAGGCAAAUUGUGGGGUAGAGCCGUGCAAGUUGCAUUGAGUAGGCCUGGAACUGCAUAUGAUCCGUAUGCUUGUCUGAGACUGAUCAGAGUGUGCUUUUGUGAUCAACACUGUUGAUAUAUAUAGCCAAGAAAACAUUGUCAUUUCAUUUGUAAUUUCACCAGUCAAGCUCUGUCUCUUUUUCUGUCGGGGGAAAUUUCCUUCUUAGAUAGAGAAGGCCUUUCCUCAUAAACAUUUCUGUGAUUAACACCAAUUUAUAGUUGUCCUAAUAAUCAUUUAAAAUCUCCUAAUAGAUGUUUAACAUGAAAAAUCAAAUAAUACAGCUUAGCACUGUCUCAAACAAA